GACGGGGCAUAAAUCACUGCACCUUGUAUAACUCACCCCUCCCCAUCCAUUUGCCUCCUUAGUCAUUGUGAUUUAUCUUCUCCGUAUUGGUCCUGGGGAAGACUGGGGGUGAGUGAGUGCUUCUCCUUUUUGCCACAAUCUCUUCUCCUCCCGAUCACACACCUCCGUCAUCAUACACACACCGACCAUCUCCUCAACCUCACACCAAUGCUCACCAUCAUCGUCGGCCACUCCUCCUCCACCAAAAGCCACCACCAGAGCGUAAAGGGAUUUCCUUUCUCAGCUGGCCAUCCAUCAUCUUCCUCCAUCUCCUUCCUCUUGCUCACACAAUCUCUUCUUUCUCCUCCAUUGACAACAACUGCAAGCCACCUCUAUAUGAACUCAUCUACCAAGGAAUCGACCUAAUUAGUCGAUCGAACCUAUGGAUCGGUCAACCGAAUCAAGUCGGGAUGGCACAAACCAGAUCCAUCAGAAGCAAAGGUGAAAGCCAGUCUGAUCGGUCGACCAAAGCUAGGGAUCGGUCGACUGAACAUUAAAUGCAAUUAAAGGAUCAUUGAUGGAGAAUCUUGGCAAAAAAGGAAACUACACUAAUCGAUCAACUGAUCAAGGGGAUCUGUUAAUCGAACAUUCAUGUGUGAAGAUAAGAUCUCAGUGAAGAAGAAAAGCAAGGACUUCAGUCGACCGAUAGAGGGUUCGGUCGACCGAACAGAUCAAUCAAUCGAAGGACUUUUCAGUCGACCGAACCUGUCUUAUAAAAGGACCUUGAGAUCUGAGCCUAUGGACAACUUCUAUGGUGUAAAUUCUCUGAUCUACUCUGCUCAUGCUUCUGUCAUUUAGCGCCUUAAUUUUACAUGUAAGCUACUAUGUGACGAGCUUCAACAUCUAUUUCUAUUAUCGGUA